UCCACACCUCCACCUACAUCCACCUCUCCUCCUGUUCUCUCUGUGUUGUCAUGUGUUGGAUCAAUCUCUGUUGUGGUUCUACUGGUGUUACUGGUUCUGCUGGUGAGACGAUGUGUUCUCAGCAAAGCUGAAGAUCGAGAUGAACCUGUGGAAGGUGACAUGUUGUACAGUGAUGUCAAAAUAUCAAAUCAUCAACAGCCAAAAAAACAAAACAAAGAGAGUGAUGCAGCAGUAAUCUACUCAGCAGUGAGAACAGAAGACAUCAGUUAUGGUCGAAUCAUAAUCAAAGACAAGAAAACCAGAUCACAGAUGAGAGACUUUAAACCAGAGCCAGACGCCAUCUACUCUUUACUGAAGUAGUCCACCAGUCCAACCACUGCUGUCCAGCUGCAGGUCUCUAACUGGUCCCCCCAGCACCUGAGACAAGAGGACAUCCACAUGUUAAUUUUUCACUGAUUUAGAUUAAAAUGAUUGAAAACUUCAAAAAACAUAUGAGGAUUUUAUCUAAGUAAGUUUUAAAUGUAUUUUCCUGCAGUGAAAAACAAUAUAAAUAUGUAGGUUUACUUUUUAUAUUUAAAGUAUGAUUCAAGCACCUUGUUCUUGUUCCCUCAGCUACUAUUUAAUUUCUCUGCGUGAAUAAUAAACCUUUGCUCUCA